rnacentral:tRNA from 1 species
CUGGCUAUAGCUUUAAUAUUAAAGCACUUUAUUUACACUAAUGAGAAUAUUGUUUAACCAAUAUAGUCUGA